AUUGAACGCUGGCGGCGUGCUUAACACAUGCAAGUCGAGCGGCAGCGGGCCCGCAAGGGUGCCGGCGAGCGGCGGACGGGUGAGCAAUACAUAGGAAUUUUCCCAGAGGCGGGGGAUAGCCCGGCGAAAGCCGGAUUAAUACCGCAUGAUGUCGAAAGACCAAAGUAGGGGACCGUAAGGCCUUACACCUUUGGUUGAGCCUAUGUCGGAUUAGCUAGUUGGCGGGGUAACGGCCCACCAAGGCAACGAUCCGUAGCUGGUCUGAGAGGACGAUCGGCCACACCGGAACUGAGACACGGUCCGGACUCCUACGGGAGGCAGCAGUGGGGAAUAUUGGACAAUGGGCGAAAGCCUGAUCCAGCGACGCCGCGUGGGUGAAGAAGGCCUUCGGGUUGUAAAGCCCUUUAAGCCGGGACGAAAAAAUCGGCGAUAACAUCGCCGGUCUUGACGGUACCGGAAGAAUAAGCACCGGCUAACUCUGUGCCAGCAGCCGCAGUAACAC
rnacentral:rRNA from 1 species